UCUUUUGUUUGGGUUUUCCAGAAGCUUUACUGUUAUAAAGCACCAUGCUUUGUAACAGCAUCGGGGUCGUUGCAGGACCCCCUGAUUACAAUAAAGCGAGAAAGAAGAACUCCUGACUUAAAAACAUGAUAUUCCUUCAGUGUAGGAAGCAGCAGUGAGGUUGUAAUAAAGGCUGCAUUCAAGAAGACCCAUCUGAACAGUGAGUUGGGUUAGCAGAGUGAUGAUUUUUAAUGCUUGUGAGAGCCAGUGUUAGACUGCCGAUUCUGCAUAGAGAGAUCAUCUAAAUGGGCAGAAGCCUGCACAAUUUAUGAAGUGCUGAUUUAACACCAGCCUAUGCAAGACAAGGUCUCACUGUGUUGCCCAGGUUGGAGUGCAGUGGCGUAACCUCCCAGGCUCCAUUGAUCUCCCUCCUUAGCCUCCCAGAUAGCUGGGACUACAGAUGGCCCAAGGGGCUAUACAAAGAAAGCUGUUUGCACAGGAUAGAAUUAAGAGCAGCAUGUCAGCAUUCCGUCUGCAGUUGAGAUGUUGAUUCCUCCUUGUAUUGCACAUUGCUGAAA
rnacentral:lncRNA from 10 species